UUGUGUUGGCAAAAAAGUUUGUUUGGGUUUUUCUGUAACAUCUUACAAACCCAAAUGAACUUUUUGGCCAACCCAAU
rnacentral:miRNA from 1 species